rnacentral:rRNA from 1 species
UACGUAGGGUGCGAGCGUUGUCCGGAAUUACUGGGCGUAAAGAGCUCGUAGGUGGUUUGUCGCGUUGUUCGUGAAAACUCACAGCUCAACUGUGGGCGUGCGGGCGAUACGGGCAGACUAGAGUACUGCAGGGGAGACUGGAAUUCCUGGUGUAGCGGUGGAAUGCGCAGAUAUCAGGAGGAACACCGGUGGCGAAGGCGGUUCUCUGGGCAUUACCUGACGCUGAGGAGCGAAAGUGUGGGGAGCGAACAGG